UAAUGGGGAGGGGCCAUCGCGCAGCCAGAUUGACGACAACUAAUUUCUAUUCUGUCUACAAAAUGGCCUUUUUGCAGUGGAGGAGGUUUAAUUUCUUUGAGAAGGAUGUUGUGAAGUACCCUGACAGCACAGAGAUCUUUGCAAAGCUGAAGGACAUUGACAUCACGACAUGUGCAAGUGGGCGUGGCCAGGUUACCCUGGGUGACUCGGAAGGCAACCUGCUGUUCUUGGACCGGAACCUGGAUCUGGAUGGUUUUAAGGCUUAUGAACUGAGAGUGACCCAUAUCCACCAACUCAAGCAACAUAAUAUCAUCUUCACUAUAGGGCAAGAUGAAGCUGGGAUCAACCCUGUCAUUAAAGUCUGGAAUCUAGACAAGCGUGAUAAGUCCAACAACCCAUCAUGUAGCAGGAUAACUCGAGCUUUGCCGGGCAGCAACGUAACGGCCAACGUGACGGCUAUAGCAGUCAGCGAGAAUCUGAACAUGAUGGCUAUCGGCUUUCAAGAUGGGACUGUGACACUCUUCAAGGGUGAUGUGACCAGGGAUAGACACAGCAAGUCGCCAAAGGUUGUUCAUAAGGGUCGUACCCAGGUGACCGGUUUGGCUUUCAGGCACACUCAACGCAGUAACGUUCUCUUCGUCUCAACGGAAGAUGCCGUCAUUGCUUGUCACAUUGGCACCAAGGAUGUUCGUACAGAAACUUUGGAUCACCAUGGUUGUUCAUCUCAUUGUGCUGUCAUGAGUGAUGCGACUCAAGACCAUCAGUUUGUUAUUGGUAGAAAUGAUGCUGUGUACUUCUACCAGCCCGAUGGGCGUGGCCCUUGCCUUGCCUUUGAGGGGCGUAAGACCAUACUCCAUUGGUUCAGGGGAUAUCUGGUGGUGGUAACGAAGGAUAGUAAGACAAUACCAAGACAAAUCGCUGGAGAGGGCCUUGCAAGGAUGAUGGACACAGUGACUGUCUAUGACAUCCAGAACAAAUUCAUAGCAUAUUCUGCACCCGUCCCGGAAGUACUGGACAUCAUCCAGGAGUGGGGCUCCCUCUAUGUUCUCGGAGGAGACAGGAAACUGUAUCAACUCCAAGAGAAAGACACUCAAACUAAACUGGAGAUGCUGUUUAAGAAGAACCUGUAUGUCAUGGCCAUCAAUCUUGCCAGGAGUCAGCAUUAUGACUAUGAUGGUUUGAUUGAUAUAUUCACCCAAUAUGGAGAUCAUUUGUACAGCAAGGGGGACCAUGAUGGGGCCAUAGCACAGUACAAGAAGACCAUCGGUAGAUUGGAACCUUCGUACGUCAUCAGAAAGUUCCUUGAUGCUCAGCGGAUUCACAACCUGACUGCCUAUCUUCAAGAGCUUCACAAGCAGUCUAUAGCAAAUGAAGAUCACACAACUCUCCUGCUCAAUUGCUACACCAAACUCAAAGAUACCAAUAAGCUUGAUGAAUUCAUCAUGACAAAGGAUAAAGAUGUUGACUUUGACGUGGAGACAGCUAUGAAGGUAUGUAGGCAAGCUGGGUACUUCAAGCAUGCCCUUUUCCUGGCCGAGAAGCACAAGCAGCAUGACUGGUAUCUCAAGGUACAACUGGAAGACAUCAAAGAUUACCAGAAGGCUCUGAAUUACAUCAGCACACUAGAGUUCUAUGAGGCAAUGGAUAACAUCAAGAAGUAUGGGAAGAUCCUGAUGACUGAGGUACCCAAAGAAGCCACUGAUUUCCUCAAGGUCUUGUGCACAGACUACAAACCAGCAGACAGGCCCCUAGUGGACCCCUCCACUCUGUCAGGGGGGAUGCCGCCUCCCAUCCAGAGGGCUUCUGUCGAGGAGUUCAUCCACAUCUUUGUCAACAACUCGGCACAGCUCAUGGAAUUCCUGGAGCAUAUGAUCAAGGUCCAGACAGAGUCUUCCAGUCAGAUCUACAACACUCUCCUGGAGCUCUAUCUCCACGACAUGGCCCACGAAACAGAAAAGCGCCCUCGUUUGGAGCUUGAGAAGAAGGCCAUGGCUUUGCUGCAGGCAGGAGAAACCAGAUACGACAUAGACCAGGCUCUUGUACUUUGUCAGAUGCACAGUUUCCAGAAGGGUAUUCUUUAUCUCUAUGAAAAGGCUCAACUCUAUCAACAGAUACUCCAUUUCUAUAUGGAACAUGACAGCUAUGAUAAGAUUAUUCAGACUUGCAAAUCCUAUGGGAACAAAGAUCCUAACCUGUGGGUACAGGCCCUUUCCUAUUUUGCUGCCAAGGAAGAGAACUGCAAGCCGUUCAUCGUUGAAGUCCUCUCCCAGAUUGACCGAAGGAAUCUGCUGCCCCCUCUCUUGGUCAUCCAGACGCUUGCCCACAAUUCCACAGCUACGCUGUCAGUCAUCAAAGAUUAUAUUGUGAGAAGACUGCAGCAGGAGAACGAUCAGAUUGCCGAUGACGAGAGAUUGAUCAAACAAUACAGAGAAGAGACCAAGAAGAUGAAGAGCCAGAUUGAAGAAAUGAAAACAAGUGCUAAGAUGUUUCAGGUGUCUAAGUGUAGUGUGUGCAAUCAUCCGUUGGAGUUGCCCUCGGUUCAUUUCCUCUGUCAACAUUCCUACCAUCAACAUUGUUUUGAGAGUUAUGCUGAGAAUGAGCAGGAGUGUCCUGCUUGUCUGCCGGAGAAUCGCAAAGUACUUGACAUCAUUAAGGCCCAGGAGCAGAGUAAAGACCUUCAUGAACAGUUCCAUCGACAGCUGGAAAAGUCCCAAGAUGGAUUCUCAGUUGUAGCAGAUUAUUUCGGCAGAGGAGUUUUCAAUAAGUUGAUAGUGUCGUCUGCCUCAAUUGCCGACCACUCUCUGAACGAUUCUCAGACACCCUCCUCUCACCUCGACAACCUUUCCUUCUAAAAGCAUGAAACCAAAUGGUUGCCUGCUGUUUGCAUUUUGUCUUUAGUCUUUAGCAUUUUUGUCACCCUCCUCACAGACUCCUUUAGUCCUGCUAAAACGACAACCUCAAAUCAAAGGUCACAACCAAGCCAGCCAGCAAGACCACCAGCCCAACCAGCCCAGCCAAUCAGGUCUGCAGCAACGCAAGCCCGACCAACCCCUAGUGCAAUUUCCAGUGCCCCUAGACCACAGGGAGGUAUACCUACCCAACAACCGGCCAAGACCCAGCUUUCCAGGCCCCCGACCUCAUCCACGCCAAGCUCCCGCCAACAGGCUCCCCCGCAGAGACCCGCCACGCCCCCAACAAAAAGAACCCCGCCCCCUUCCCAACAGGCUCCACCAACGAGGUCCGUGCCACCUCCAACGCAAGCCAUGGCAAGCAAGCCCAUCAGGCCUGCCGAUCCCCCGAAGAGGGUACAAACCCCGCCCCAGCAGAGCCAAGCCCGCAGCACCCCGCCCGCCAAAGAAUACAACCCGUUUGACGAACCCGAUGAACCGGUGAAAUCUACAUCCCAGCAAGGGCGGAGUACAGCUCUCCCGGCUGCCAUGAUGAGGCGGGGACAGGCGGGCGGUAAAGGUUCGGGCCAGUCAUCCCCUGCAGAGUACAAUCCAUUUACCCAUCCAGAUGGCCAACUGAGCAGGGGUUCACCAUCUUCCACCGGAGGACAGCAAGCUGCUCCCCGCAGGGCACCCACCCCUCCUAAUCCAUUUGAUGAUGAACCUAGCUCGACUGGAAAGAAUCCAUUUGAAGAUGAUAUGAUACAUGACGAGGACAAGAAUAAUCCUUUCUUUAACUGAAAUUCUUCAAAUGGCACCAGUACAAAAUGGAAAUGAACUCAUAGACAUUGCCAGUUGCUCAAUAUUGCAUUUAUCAUUGAGAUUAUGCUUGAGCUUGAUCUUGUUAUAUUUUACUGUAAUUUUUACCUUACUUGAGAUGAGAAUAAACACUGACUGUUGUAUGGUAUUGGUUAAUCGUACGCCAUAAUAAUGUUUAUAAUUAUGUUCAGGUAUUUGUUAAUUAAUUAUGUUGAUAUUAUCGAUAUUUCAGCAAUUGGUCUCUGGUCAUAGCGUUUAUUAGAUACACAUGACAUUCCUUUAUUUGCCUGGAAUUACUUGUUUAUUUAUCAACUCUAGCUGUACAUGUAUUUUUGUUUGGUUAUUGCUUCAAGCUGUAAUGAUAGACCAGUCCGUAGUUACUUCAUGGACAAUUUUGGUCAAAUGACCUUUCAUUUCUUUCAUUAUGAUAGGCAGAUUUCAAAGCAAGAUAUUACAUAAGCUUGCCUUACAUAGCAGGAUGAAGAAAUUGAAUAGACCAGGUGACUAGAAUAGCACACAAAUGAACACUUUAUGAAGGUAUUCGUUGCAUUCCUACUUUGAAUGCAUAUCAUAGCAUGUUGCACAAUGUACUUGGCAAACUGUGAAAUACCAGUGUUCGUGGACUCAAUGUUGCUCUUUGUGGAUGUGAAUGAAAACCACAAUUCAAAAGAAUAUAUGAAUAAACAAGACAUCCAGGUUGGUGCUUAUCUCAUUAGAUUUUAAACCACCAUGUCACUUUAGUACAAAUGACCUUCCUCUGAUCAUGCGUAGAAUCGUUUGAUCAUGCGCAGAAAGGAACUACGAACUGGCUUAUUGCUAUAUUCUAUCAUAAAUUUGAAAAAUAUUGUAUUCUAACACUCACCAGUGUGUUUGCAGUAAGUACCAAGUAGGAGAUUGGUCUGAUUCUGCACAUAUUGUAGAUAAUCAUAUUGAAUGCACUUUCUAUUUCUUUAACAGAUACAUUGUAUCUAUAAAUAGUCCAAAAUGCAAAUUCUUCUUCAGAUUUUCAACUACCAGUUCUAUCGAUUUUUGUUUUGGAUGAGACAUUCCUCAGCUUUGCUUGCAGGUUUUUUUAUACGCCUGUCCAAGACGGGACGUAUUCUGGUAUCACGCUCGUUGUCUUGUCCGUCUGUCUGUCCGUCUGUUAACUUUUCCUUUAAAUGCGAUAACUUCACUGUGACUUAACCUAGGCUCAUAUAAUUUGGUGUGUAUGAUACUAGCAUGGAUCCCAGGAAGCCUAUUGAUUUUAUGGUCAAAAGGUCAAAGGUAAAGGUCACAGUGACAUGUUUUCAUCUUAGCCUUCUGCAGUCCUGGUAAACGUGAUAAGUUCAGUUUGACUUAACCUAGGCUCGUAUAAUUUGAUGUGUAUGAUACUAGCAUGGAUCCCAGGAAGCCUAUUGAUGUUGAGGUCAAGAUCAAAGGUCAAGGUCACAGUGACAUGUUUUCAUCUUAGCCUUCUGCAGUCCUUGUAAAUGCAAUAACUUCAGUUUAACUUAACCUAGGCUCAUGUAAUUUGGUGUGUAUGAUACUAGCAUGGAUCCCAGGAAGCCUAUUGAUUUUGAGGUCAAAAGGUCAAAGGUCACAGUGACAUGCUUUCAUUUUACCCUUCUGAAGUCCUUGUACACUCGAUAACUCAAAUAAGUUGGUGUGUUUGAUACUAGCAUGGGUGAAAGUAUUCCAGUUUCUCCUAUAAUGGUUUUUUCGCACCUAUCAAACAGAAUGCCAGUAGCUCCUAUGUAGGUUAGACUCUACAACUGAAGAAGCAUUAUACAUCAUCAAUUGUGCAAUGAAAUAUAUGUAUAUUCAAAGAUACAAUCUUUGAGAAAGUGUCAGUGUACAAGAUUGCACUUUUGCAGCUGUAAAAUAUUCUGUACUCUUAAGGUGCAAUUCUGGGGGCAAACAAGUAUAAAAGGGUUCCCAAUGAUCAAAUCAUAAUUGUGUUUUAUUUUCCCUGGCUAACCACUUCAGUUAUAAGACUGCUCUACUAGCAAACCCUUUAUAACAUGUAAUUAUGACACUUCUUCAAUCUGAAUACUAAGUUCCAAGCAAGAUAGCAGAAUGUUCUCCUUUGCUAAGUUCUUGGAAGGACUCGGCUGUAGAUUGAACCCAUGACCUCCUGUUCAAGAGGCAGAUGCUCUACCACCGAGCCACCAGGCUAGGCUUGCAUAUAAAACCUAAGAUAUGUGCAUAAUUCAUUAGAUUUUUGUUUAAAAAUUUCAUUUUUGCAUAAUAGCGCAUUAAUUUCAAAAGGCACAGGUGACGCCAAACAAAUAAUAAUAAUAAUAAAAUAAUUUUAUGUCAUGAAUCCAACAACAUACAUUCUUGUAUUUUAUAUGAUGAGCUACAUGCAUACUAUGUUUAGAUGAAUUGAAGAAAUAAGUGAACAAAAUUGUAGACACCCCCUUCCCCCACCAUAUUUUGGGGAUUGAAAUUGCCCAUUCUUUUUUAGCACUAAAAGCAGUGUUAUAUAAUGGACUAUAAACUAAUAAUCUAUAAAUGCGAAGAAAUUUCAUUAAAUUCUAUUUUUCCUCAAACUUUCUUACAAAUCUUAAUUCAUAUUUUGCAGUGAAACGUAAUCAUUGAUGCACAUAUGGCAUAUGUAGCACUUAUAUACUGAUUUUCCCCCCAAUUUUUUUCCAACAAUAAGGAUAUUAAGAAUAUGUGACCUAAAAUCUGUUUUUCAAUGACCAUAAUUUUGUUUACAUUGUUAUAUAAUGUAUUUAAGUACAUGUAUUCCAUUUAUAACACAGAAACAAUCUUUAUCAAGAUACACUGUUGUGUUUUUCAGUUAAAGAUAUAUUAAUAUUGCAUCUUGCCUUUAUUAUAAGAUUAGAACCAGAGAUAUUUCUCUUUAGUUUGGGUCAGUGUUUUUUUAAUUUUUAUAAAACCUAUGCUUAUCUUCAUUUCCUAUUAUGGAAGUAAAUAGCAGAGUUGGAAAGUUAUUGUUGAUUUUUAUAUGUUUAAAAAGAAUAUUAAUACUCAUUUAUUUGGCAUUUGUUGAUAUUGUCACAGAGGAGAAUAUAAUGUACAAAGUACAAUAAUGUACAAAAGGUGAAUGCAUGUAAAAUUGUAAAGAAAUUGAUCAUGAAUAUAGUUGAAUUAAAUAUAAUUAGAGACUUUA